AAUAGAUACCCAGGUAGUCCACGCCGUAAACGGUGGGCACUAGGUGUGGGCAACAUUCCACGUUGUCCGUGCCGCAGCUAACGCAUUAAGUGCCCCGCCUGGGGAGUACGGCCGCAAGGCUAAAACUCAAAGGAAUUGGACGGGGGCCCGCACAAGCGGCGGAGCAUGUGGCUUAAUUCGACGCAACGCGAAGAACCUUACCAAGGCUUGACAUACACCGGAAACGUCUGGAGACAGGCGCCCCCUUGUGGUCGGUGUACAGGUGGUGCAUGGCUGUCGUCAGCUCGUGUCGUGAGAUGUUGGGUUAAGUCCUGCAACGAGCGCAACCCUUGUCCCGUGUUGCCAGCAGGCCCUUGUGGUGCUGGGGACUCACGGGAGACCGCCGGGGUCAACUCGGAGGAAGGUGGGGACGACGUCAAGUCAUCAUGCCCCUUAUGUCUUGGGCUGCACACGUGCUACAAUGGCCGGUACAAUGAGCUGCGAUACCGUGAGGUGGAGCGAAUCUCAAAAAGCCGGUCUCAGUCCGGAUUGGGGUCG
rnacentral:rRNA from 1 species